GUCGAGAAUCUUUCACAAUGGGGGCAACCCUGAUGGAGCGACGCCGCGUGGAGGAUAAGGUCUUCGGAUUGUAAACACCUGUCAUGCGUGAACAAGGUUGCUUGGUUAAUACCUGGGCAAAUUGAUGGUAACGCAAGAGGAAGAGACGGCUAACUCUGUGCCAGCAGCCGCGGUAAUACAGAGGUCUCAAGCGUUGUUCGGAAUCACUGGGCGUAAAGGGUGCGUAGGUGGCGUGGUAAGUCAGAUGUGAAAGCCCGGGGCUCAACCUCGGAACUGCAUCCGAUACUGCCAUGCUAGAGUACUGGAGAGGUGACUAGAAUUCUCGGUGUAGCAGUGAAAUGCGUAGAUAUCGAGAGGAAUACCAAAGGCGUAGGCAGGUCACUGGACAGUUACUGACACUGAGGCACGAAGGCCAGGGGAGCGAACGGGAUUAGAAACCCGGGUAGUCC
rnacentral:rRNA from 1 species